GGUGGUUCUCGAGUGAUGCACCCCAGAAUCAGGUUCCCUCCUCUCUGGUUCCCGGUGCAUCACCUGAGAACCUCA
rfam:Myotis davidii contig219658, whole genome shotgun sequence.